GAUAAACGCUGGCGGCGUGCCUAACACAUGCAAGUCGAACGACCUUGGCCUCGACAGAGACCAAGGGAGUGGCGGACGGGUGAGGAACACGUGGGUGACCUACCCCAAAGUGAGGGAUACCGGCGAGAAAUCGCCGACAAUCCCGCAUAGGCUGCGCUUUUUGUGAGGAAGGGAGCAGCAAAGUCGCGCGUCGUGAGACGAGGGCGCUUUGGGAUGGGCCCGCGGCCGAUUAGCUGGUUGGUGGGGUAAGAGCCUACCAAGGCUGCGAUC
rnacentral:rRNA from 1 species